GUGGCUGUGGCUCAGAGGUAGAGCGCUCGCCUGCCAUGCAUGUGGCACUGGGUUCGAUCCUCAGCACCACA
rfam:Ictidomys tridecemlineatus contig085806, whole genome shotgun sequence.